rnacentral:rRNA from 1 species
AUUGAACGCUGGCGGCAGGCCUAACACAUGCAAGUCGAGCGGCAGCGGGAAAGUAGCUUGCUACUUUUGCCGGCGAGCGGCGGACGGGUGAGUAAUGCCUGGGAAAUUGCCCAGUCGAGGGGGAUAACAGUUGGAAACGACUGCUAAUACCGCAUACGCCCUACGGGGGAAAGCAGGGGACCUUCGGGCCUUGCGCGAUCGUAUAUGCCCAGUUGGGAGUAGCUAGUUGGUGAGGUAAUGGCUCACCAAGGCGACGAUCCCUAGCUGGUCUGAGAGGAUGAUCAGCCACACUGGAACUGAGACACGGUCCAGACUCCUACGGGAGGCAGCAGUGGGGAAUAUUGCACAAUGGGGGAAACCCUGAUGCAGCCAUGCCGCGUGUGUGAAGAAGGCCUUCGGGUUGUAAAGCACUUUCAGCGAGGAGGAAAGGUUGAUGCCUAAUACGUAUCAACUGUGACGUUACUCGCAGAAGAAGCACCGGCUAACUCCGUGCCAGCAGCCGCCGUAAUAC